CCUUGAACCAGCUGAAUGAUCCUUACAUAGUGAAGAGUAAAUCUAAAGUCACAUGCAGUAGGUGAUCUUUCUGUGUCUGGCGUAUGCAGUAGGUGAUCUUUCUGUGUCUGGUGUAUGCAGUAGGCGAUCUUUCUGUUUGACUUAUGCAGUAGGUGAUCUUUCUGUGUCUGACUUAUGCACUAGGUGAUCUUUCUGUCUGACUUAUGCGGUAGGUUAUCUUUCUGUCUGGUGUAUGCAGUAGAUGAUCUGUGUCUGGCGUAUGCAGUAGGUUAUCUUUCUGUCUGGUGUAUGCAGUAGGUGAUCUUUCUGUGUCUGGCGUAUGCAGCAGGUGAUCUUUCUGUGUCUGGCGUAUGCAGCAGGUGAUCUUUCUGUGUCUGGCGUAUGCAGUAGGUGAUCUUUCUUUGGCGUAUGCAGUAGGUGAUCUUUCUGUGUCUGGCGUAUGGAGUAGGUGAUCUUUCUGUGUCUGGCGUAUGCAGUAGGUGAUCUUUCUGUGUCUGACUGUGUCUGGCUCUUGCUACAGUGUACUACUGUAUUCACAGCUUUGUGUCAUCCUUAAUUGGAAAUAAUAAACAUAAGCAAGGAAAUGGUAGGAUUCUGCAAACUGUUUGCUACUGUAAUUCAGGGACUACGCUUUGAAAUGAAAGCAGAAAGUACAUGUCCUAUUAGAUAGGUUUUUCUAGAUAAGCCAGUUAUAAAGCAUGUUUUUUUCUUUUCGUUUGUCAUCAAAAGGAAAGGAAGGGUUAGCAGUACACUUAAAGAAUAGUAUCAAAUAUACAAAUUCUCUUUAAACAGAACUCGUUUCUCUUGGAAACAGGGCACAUGAGAGGUACAGGUGAUAAAUAGUUGUACAUCAGAAGGUAGAGACGUGGUACAAGGAAUUCCAGGCCAGCUAAACGAUGCAGUGACAGGGCACCGUAAGAACAUGUUACAAGCACUGAAGAUGCUACAGGAGCUAAACAAACAAGUCUUCUUGGUGAAAUAAUUUGGCAGAUAUUUACAGUUCAGAAGAACAAAACGUCAAAAUGUAAGGCAUGAAAUAUUUCUUGGCAGACCACGGUUUGACACAUUCCUUCUGUCCAGUUAGGUACACGGUGGCUGGACAUGUUCUGGCACUUUU
rnacentral:lncRNA from 1 species